CUAAUUUGUCCCUUCUUUUAUAGCCCUAUACCAUUUUACUAUCCUUGCUAAACAGGCUUUUAUUGCUUGUUUUGUGACUUGAACUUUAGCCUCAAAAUUGGAAAGGCUUUUUCUGUUUUUUUUUAGUUCCAGCCAUGUCUUAGGAGAAUAUAGUAAACAACCAAUUAUUUGCAUUUCCACGUCCGUGCAUCCCUAAAACACACAGUGUGCCAAGAUUCUUUCCCUGUUCCACGUUCUUUUUAUUCAAAUCACAUUGUUAAGUCAUCUGCUGUGUGCCAGGCAGUGUGCUAAUCUUGGAAGAUACCAACAUGAAUGAAAAAGAACUUGGGUGGAGUGUUUGCAUUAUUACCCUAUGAUGUAAUGUGUAUAGUGCAGAGAUAAAUGCACAGAGAGCUAUUGAAGCUCAGAAGCAGCAUUAAUCCAACUUUGGGAAGAGGUCAUGGGUCAGGAAAAACUUCCAGGAGAAAAUGAUUCCAGAGAGUUGAAGUGGGAUGUCUUGUGGUGGCGUUUGGGAGGAGUAAAGGGAAAAGGAUUGCUUGAACAGAAGCUGUACAGUAAGAAACUGGUCUUUGUGCUGAACUAAAACUAAGACUUCUAUGCCACUGUUUAGGGACGUGAGGCUGGAGAAGUUGACAAGGAUCAUGACUGCUAGGUGAGAACCUAAAGAAGGGAACUUAAAGAAGUCAUCAAAUCUGUCCCUGAUAUUUGUGGGUCCAGCAGCAUUCUGGAGCCUUUUGUAGGACCUCAAGAAGGAUUUGAAGAAACUAGAUAUUUUUACCAGCAAAAUAAUUCACAGCACACAAAUGAUUGCACAGAAUUUCAGUGCUUUCAGAAAUUCUCUGGAAACCUUUUCGUGAACGCCAGUCUGUUGCAGGCUGGCCUGGUAGCUCUCCUACACCACUUCCCUUCCAGCGGCAACCCAGGGGCCAGGCUGCAUCCAGCUUAACACUGCCAUGUUGGAGUUGAGCGCUUUGUUUUUAACCAGCUAGCCUUAGGAAAGAGUCAACAUGCAGAAGUCACACUUGAUUUUAACUGCUAUACCAGAAGGGACACCUCAUCUCCCCUACAUUCCAUUGGUGAGAACAUGGAAAUUUGAUGAACACUACUGGUUUUGGUCUCAGCCACUAUUUCCAUUUGUUCAAUAUCAUAUUUCUGCUCCUAUGGAUACAACGAUAGAGGCAGGAGGCAGAGAAAUUCUAGGCAGAAAGGGCGGGUCCCUGGCAAAUGCCCCACCCUCCAGCUGAAAAGCCUGAAACCGCAGCCUGAAGUGAGAAGUUACAUCCCUGUUUUCCCACUUGAAUGUUGCCUUUUCCAAAACCACUCAUUGCCUGCCCUGCCCUCCAUCCUGGGCUUAUAAAAAACCUCAUACCCAGCUGACAGAGAGAGGAGAAGCAGCUGGACAGCAGAGACUAUAGCUGGAUGUCGGGGAGAAGUGGCUUGAUUCCAGAGGGACAGCUUGACUGUGUAACUUGGGAGAAGAAUCUGGUUGGAGACUCCUGGACUUUAGGAGAAGAUUACCUUCCAGCUCUGUCCCCUUUUCAGCUCCCCUUCCCACUGACAGCCAUGCCCAUCGGCAAUAAAAUU